rnacentral:rRNA from 1 species
GGACGGGUGAGUAACGCGUGGGCAACCUGCCCUGUACCGGGGGACAACAGCCAGAAAUGGCUGCUAAUACCGCAUAAGCCUGCUGUGCCGCAUGGCACAGCAGGGAAAACCACGGUGGUACAGGAUGGGCCCGCGUCUGAUUAGUUAGUUGGCAGGGUAACGGCCUACCAAGACAACGAUCAGUAGCCGGCUUGAGAGAGUGGACGGCCACAUUGGGACUGAGACACGGCCCAGACUCCUGCGGGAGGCAGCAGUGGGGAAUAUUGCACAAUGGGGGGAACCCUGAUGCAGCAAUGCCGCGUGGGUGAAGAAGCACUCCGGUGCGUAAAGCCCUGUCAGCAGGGAAGAAAAUGACAGUACCUGGACAAGAAGCCCCGGCUAACUACGUGCCAGCAGCCGCGGUAAUACGUAGGGGGCAAGCGUUAUCCGGAUUUACUGGGUGUAAAGGGAGCGCAGGCGGCGUGGCAAGUCAUAUGUGAAAACCCGGGGCCCAACCCCGGGAGUGCAUUUGAAACUGCCAUGCUGGAGUGCCGGAGAGGUAAGCGGAAUUCCU